UGAAAAUAUGAUAUAUGAAUCGGCUAUAUACCCCAAUAAAACUGUUAUAAGAAUAAAAGGUUAAUAUAGUUAACUAAUAAUGGCGUUUUUGUUCUAUACUCUUUAUAUUAGGUUUAUCAAAAUUGUUUAUUCACACUGUCAGAGGUGUUCAGCCAGGAAUUCUUCAUUCUCAAAAUGCCACGGUGGUUUAAUAAACUGGACCUUGGCCUCUUGCUGGUUUUUGGCAGUGUCACCAUCGUUGCAGCUCCAUUUCUGACACCAGUCAAGCAUAAAUAUUGCUCUUCCAUAGAAGUUACAUGUGCGUUCGAUGGUAGUGGGGGAAAGUGAAGCUUCCUAAAUUUGAAAAUGGCACAGAGGUAUGACUCACGCUGGAGAAGAAAAGUCAAGAGCCAGCAAAGUACUUGCAAAAGAUGCAGAAGAAAGCUAGACACACAAGGAGUGGAGAAUGCAGACUACUUCCAGUGUCAGCACUGACUAUUUUGGUUGACUGUAUAUACAAAGAAUUGGCUGGAGAGGGCUUGGACAGCAGCACACUUAUCUGAAAGCUGAAAUGUGUAGGAAGGUGCUAUGUCCCUGUAUCCAUCCAGAAUCAAAGUGGAGGCCAGAUGACUAUUGCACUGAAGGAAUACCUUGUCUUCCUGAAUAUACUACAUUUACACCAGUUAUGUCAGUUCUGAGAUUUUGGCAGGUUUGCUUUGAUACAGCUAACAUGCUGUCUUCAUUGUCUAAAUGGCUGCAUUACAAGAAAGUGAUAAUUUUCUGAAAAUGAAAGACACUUGGAGCUGAGUGAUAUUAAUGAUAGACUCUAACUGAUUAUCAUCCUCGUUAGUAAUAAGCUGUUUUCCCAAUGUCUAUGUCCUAUUUAAUAAUAUUGUUAGAUUAUUGAUGUUGAAAUAUCCAGUGAAAAAUAUUGUUGUAUUUGCUUUUGUCUAGAUUAUGUAAACCCAAUUUUCACCAUGUAAAUAUCAAAACAUAUUUAAAAUGUAUUGGAAGUUUGUUUUUGUCAUGGACAAGCAUAUAAAAUCCAUUACAAUGAGGAACAUGUAUUUGAGUUUCUUUAUGAUUUUUUUUUUUUAAAGAAACCAUUAAGUUUGUAUGAGAAAGUGUUGGAGAUCUUUACUUGUGCUGUCUGAGCUCACCAUGAGAUGCACGAAUUAGACUGGGAUGAGAAUAUAUUGAGAUUAUAGAGAGAGCUCUCUGGUUUCUCUGCCUGAGAUCAAAAAGACGCACCAAACUUGAGACAAUCUGAGAAUUAUUUGAGAGCUUGAUGAGAUCUAUUUUGAAACUUAAAAGGAGGCUACUUUGAGAUUUUGUGAUGCUUUUUCCCCACGAGAAAAAACUGAGAAACAGGAGAAAUAAGCCAUAAUCUCAUUUUGGUUUCACACAGAUCUCAUUGUUGUCUAGGAGAAUACAUGAGAUGUUUUUGACAGCUCUUUUCUAAUUUUCUUUUCCUCUGGGGGCCUGAGUCCAGUUCAGAUUCAAUUUUGGAAUUUCAUUCCUCUCCCUCGCUUGACAGACUCCAAACUACUCUAAUGAUCUUGUAUAUACUGAGAAUUCCAUUGGGUUUGAUGUCUGAUUAAUAGUUUUCUUUGAUUAGCAAUACAUGGGUACAUCUGGCUGUUACAGUAUUGAAUGUCAUUUUCAGCUUCACUUUGUCUGCAUUUACUAUAAUUCAUGCAUGUUUAUUAAAAAUAUUC